AUACGUAGGGGGCGAGCGUUGUCCGGAAUGAUUGGGCGUAAAGGGCGCGUAGGCGGCCCGGUAAGUCUGGAGUGAAAGUCCUGUUUUUAAGAUGGGAAUUGCUUUGGAUACUGUCGGGCUUGAGUGCAGGAGAGGUAAGUGGAAUUCCCAGUGUAGCGGUGAAAUGCGUAGAGAUUGGGAGGAACACCAGUGGCGAAGGCGACUUACAGGACUGUAACUGAAGCUGAGGCGCGAAAGUGUGGGGAGCAAACAGGAUUAGAUACCCUGGUAGUCCACACUGUAAACGAUGAAUGCUAGGUGUACGGGGUAUCGACCCCUUCUGUGAUGCAGUCAACACAAUAAGCAUUCCGCCUGGGGAGCUCGGCAGCAAGGUUGAAACUCAAAUGAAUUGACGGGG
rnacentral:rRNA from 1 species